rnacentral:rRNA from 1 species
AGAGUUUGAUCAUGGCUCAGAAUGAACGCUGGCGGCGUGCUUUACACAUGCAAGUCGAGCGAGGCGUCCCGCAAGGGGCAGUCGAGCGGCGAACGGGUGAGUAACGCGUGGAUAACCUGCCCUUCAGUGGGGAAUAACCCGGGGAAACUCGGACUAAUACCGCAUUCGACCGAGAGGUGAAAGGGGGCUCGCAAGAGCUCUCGCUGAAGGAGGGGUCCGCGUUCGAUUAGCUAGUUGGUGGGGUAAUGGCCUACCAAGGCGACGAUCGAUAGCCGGUCUGAGAGGGUGAUCGGCCACACUGGAACUGAGACACGGUCCAGACUCCUACGGGAGGCAGCAGUGGGGAAUUUUGCGCAAUGGGCUAACGCCUGACGCAGCAACGCCGCGUGGAGGAUGAAGGUCUUUGGAUUGUAAACUCCUGUCAGCAGGGAAAAAGGGAAGUGACCUAAUACGUCAUUGACUUGAUUGUACCUGCAGAGGAAGCCCCGGCUAACUCUGUGCCAGCAGCCGCGGUAAUACAGAGGGGGCAAGCGUUAUUCGGAAUUAUUGGGCGUAAAGGGCGCGUAGGCGGCUUUUCAAGUGGCGGGUGAAAUCCCUCGGCUUAACCGGGGAACUGCCUGCCAGACUGGAUUGCUUGAGGCCGGGAGAGGUGAGUGGAAUUCCCAGUGUAGCGGUGAAAUGCGUAGAUAUUGG